rnacentral:lncRNA from 15 species
AUGAGGAGAAAACAUUGGAAAUUGAGAAAAAGUUAGAAAAAACACAUGAAGAGACAACAGUUAAUGCUGAAGCCAGUGGAGACAAGCAAGUGGCUGUUUGUGUGGGAUUCCAAAGUAUUGAAGACAUUGCUGCCAUAUCCCCAUUGCACUGUCCUUCAUAUACCAGAGAUACCCAAAAAACACAGUCUGGACAUAAGGACCAGGUGAAAAGAAGGUUAUCCUUUGGACAAGAAAUUCCAUCCUGCCCCAAGGAGUUUACAGUAAGCCUAACAAGGACUGAAUGGGCUGCAAUUCAGCCAGCUAAAAGAAAAGGAUACGGAGUCUUGAAGAAAGGCUGGACGGAUCUUCUAAGCCGCAAAAUAGCAUGUAUAAACAAAUUUUGCGUUCUUUCCUUUAAGUCUAAUAAAAUAAAAUUCAGUCAAAGUCGAAAAAAUAAAAGUGCAUAUUGGAGGGGUAAGGCUGUAUGCACAUUUUCUGGUUGCACAACUUACUUCCAAUCUUUGGAGGAAGAUCCAAAUGAUACUGAAGAUGAUAUACCUGUUCAUGUAAAAGUCCAGGGAAAAAUUCAUCACAGUUGCCAUGAACAGCAUAGCCGACACUGCCGCCAAGCUGAGCGCCACACACUCAGAGGACAACUUGGCGAAUGUUCUCCCAUGUUACUCCACACAAAACAACUGGCAUCCACGGAUAAAGAGAAAAUAUUUGCAGGAAAUCUUAAUGAUGUUAAGUCUGUCCCAGUCUUGCAAAAGAUAUCAAGUGAAAAAAAUCUUGAUAAUCGUUUAGAUAGUGAUGCUUUCAUGGAGUGUUUUAAAAUUCAGCAAAAGCAGGAUGUGGAAAAACCAAGCUCCAAGUUAAAACACAGUGUCAUUCAAUAUGUUGCAAUGUCUCCCUUUGUAGUUCACAGUUAUUCAGAAUCACAGUUGCAUAUUCUCCAUGAACAACAGAAGAAGAAUGAUUGUCUGUUAUAUAUGGAUGCAACUGGCAGUGUAGUUGCAAAACCUCACCCCUCCAGCCAGUCAGUACUAUAUUAUGCACUUUGCACACCAUGCCAGUCCACAACCCAAACUGUGGUUCCAGUAGCAGAAAUGCUGACAUCAGACCAAACCACUGCAACAAUUCUACACUGGUUGACUUGCCUGCGUCGGGAUUAUUACAAGCUGUUCCAGAAAGACUUGAGGCCACAAAAAAUUGAAACAGAUUUCAGUGAUCCACAGGCAUUCAACAAUGUCAGCAUUCAGCAGUACUUACGACUUUGUUUUCAGGUGUGCCAAGAGCAGCAGACAGUGCAAAUGACUGUGAUACACCUCUGUUCUGCUCACAUGCUUAAGCUGAUAACCAUGAAACUGAGCAAGGAAUGAGACAAAAACGUGUCAGGAACAUCUGUCAACACUGCAGGCAGCCAUUCAGACACAGAAGACAGACAAAAUAAACAUCAAAAAUGCAGAUGAUGAUGAACCAAGUCUUCACCAAGUGAAGACCUGCAUAAAUCAAUCAGAAAGUCAUCACCUUUCUUUGCUCCCAUCAAAGCUGUGGUAAAGUAAACAAAUGAUAAAGCAAGAAAGGAAGAUGAAGCAGAGGGUGCAGCACAAAAAAAUAAUACCCAUUUCUGUGAGUCUGUGUUGCGCAUUCUUUUAGACUAUGCAGGUGCAGUUCCCCUUUGGUCAAAGGGCAAAACUAGAGACAGUAAUGCCAUACUAGAAAAUUGGUUCCGCACAACAAAAAAUGUGGUUCUGACAUCAAAGCUGCACAGAGGAGCAGGACAUUUUCUGCAGCUCCAGCAACAGUUUGUUGAGGGAAGAAUCAAAGGAAUGUUACUGAAAAAGCAAGUACCACAGACGAAACAGUCUUUAUCAGACAAUGAUGAUGGAGAGGACAUUGAUGGUCCAGUCUCUCUUCCCCUAUCGCAAGAAGAGAAAUGGAAAAAGCAAAGUAUGCAAAAGAGAAAAUCGAAGUAUUUCAACUCUCCUCCUCCAACAAAAAAAGCAUCUUGUCUGCAACAUCUGCCAGCCAAAAACAUCCAAAGACAAAGAGUCACAUCAAAGGUGCACCACCCCCACAACCACAAACAAGACAGGGAUGCUGUCCAUAUUGGGGAGGAGAAGGGUUAAUUGAGAAGCAAACAGUGUCAAUGACAAAUACAUGUACAGUGGACAACCUACUGUACAUGCUUCACAUGGCUAUCAAGAGGAGACCAGGGAUUAGCACUGAUCUUAAUGCAAGCUCCAAUAAUUGGAUUUCCACCUUACUGCAAGUCCACAAACCUUUUUGAAAAGAAGGAGUGGUCCCAGGGAAAAUUAUUGUGGCUAAACGCCAUUGGCUGAUUUAAAGGGACUUCAUGGGAUGCUUAUGGGACAGUGGAAGACAUGGUUGCAUGUCGUCUCGAGUAUCUCAUGACAACAGAAAUCAUGCAAAAGUGCAAGAAUGCAGCUUGUCCUGUUGUGAGAAGACGAGUCAACAGUACUGACAUCUUGUAAGAAUUAUUUAAUUCUGUAAAACGAAAAUCAAUGCAUGUUUUUCAUUUCACUUGCGAGAAAGUAUAAUUUAUUUUAAAACGACAAACAUUGGUUCAUAUAAGUUAACAAAGAUAGAGACUGGUCAUAUUUAUGUUAAUCUACAUAUCUUACAUGUGAUUUAUUUGUUUAUUUUCAGGUGUGAAGACUUCAGUACUUUACAGAUAGAUAUUGACAGGUGGAUGAAUGCAUCCCUUACAGCUCCAUGCAAAAGGUAAGUAUACAGUAUGCAAACAUACAGACCAUUCUCUUGAAUGCAGUUACACAGCUCUCAUGCCUAGUUGUCCAUUGAGUCUGACAUUUUCAUAGUUUUACAAUAUUUAAUGUUUUCUAACUUUUAUCUUAACAGAGGUCCUGCCCCAUGCACUGACAGUGAGCAGACACUGCAGCGUGUCUUCGUGAAUGGACAGCCAUGUGUGUUACUGGUCUCAGUGAUACACCAGGCCAAUCUCAGUGACAAGCUGCAUCCUACAGCCUUGCCACACCUGGUGACAAUUCUCUGUGUCACACUUGUACAUGUUUUUGUCACUGAUUUUAUUUGUUUACGUUGCUAUUCUAAUAUAGUUUGAAUUAAUUUGUGAGUGGUCAUCACAUUUUUCUGCUAUACUGUCAAUACCCACAAAGGUACGAGCCAGCUGCAGUGACAUACCACCUGGGCACAAAGAAUCACUUUGUGGCAUUCCACAAACUGGGCGCUGACGAAGGCUGGCAUUUUUAUGAUGGCCUUGAGGAAAUGCUCAACCCUGGCAAGGGUGAUGUUGUCAUCACUGACACAUUAAGGAAAAAGAAACUUAAGGCUAAGUGUAAAGUUAGCCACAUUGUCAUGGUCAGGGUAAGUAUGGACAUUAAUUAUGGCAUAACACUGUCUUGACUUCUAAAACUAGUUUUCCUUUGUAUUUCAACAGAUGACAAAAAUAUUCAUGUCUUUCGGU